UACGAAGGGGCUAGCGUUGUUCGGAAUUACUGGGCGUAAAGGGCGCGCAGGCGGUCCUUCAAGUCAGGCGUGAAAGCCCCGGGCUCAACCUGGGAAUAGCGCUUGAGACUGAGGGACUUGAGUUCGGGAGAGGAGAGCGGAAUUCCCAGUGUAGAGGUGAAAUUCGUAGAUAUUGGGAAGAACACCGGUGGCGAAGGCGGCUCUCUGGACCGACACUGACGCGUGAGGCGCGAAAAGCGUGGGGAGCAACAGG
rnacentral:rRNA from 1 species